AUUGUACGCUGGCGGCAGGCCUAACACAUGCAAGUCGAGCGAGCGGCGGACGGGUGAGUAAUGCCUGGGAAUUGCACAGUCGAGGGGGAUAACAGUUGGGAACGACUGCUAAUACCGCAUACGAUUGGCUUGUCUAGGUGGGAUUAGCUAGUUGGUGAGGUAAUGGCUCACCAAGGCGACGACCCCUAGCUGGUCUGAGAGGAUGAUCAGCCACACGGGAGCGGAGACGCGGUCCAGACCUCUACGUGAGGCAGCAGUGGGGAAUAUUGUGCAAUGGGGGAUACCCUGAUGCAGCCAUGCCGCGUGUGUGAAGAGGGCCUUCGGGUUGUAAAGCACUUUCAGCGAGGAGGCGUUACUCGCAGAAGAAGCACCGGCUAACUCCGUGCCAGCAGCCGCGGUAAUUC
rnacentral:rRNA from 1 species